rnacentral:lncRNA from 1 species
GCCUUUAUUUAUUUAUUUUGGGGUUUUGAGACAGAGCUUCGCAGUGUAGCUCAAGUUGGCUGAACUCAAAAAAUUUCCGUCUCAGCCUCCCGAGGGCUGGGGUUACAGCCAUGCAUCUUCACUCCUGGCUUUAAUUGUUUUUUUGGUACGGGGAUCAAACUUGGAACCUUGCACUUUCGAGGCAGACAGUGGAACCACUGAACUAAAUCCCCGGACCUUUAAUUUUUGAGACAGGCUUUUGCUACCUCAUGAAUUUCUGAGGCUGGGCUUGAGUUUGUGAUCCUCCUGCCUCACCCUCCCAGAACACUGGGGUUACAGUGGUUUUAUUUCAAACUGUUCACAUGCUGUCUGGUUGGAUCACACAUUGUCAUUCCCCCGGUGCUUCCUGCAUCUUCUUUGCUGAAGACUAAGGAUCCCCAAUCUGUAGAGGAGAUUCUGGACUCUUCCAGGGCCGUCUCCCUCGAAGCCCUGUCUGCAGGGCUCCGCUGACUGCCCGAGGAAGCAGUGUGAGCCCAACCACUACCUGGACCUGGACGGCCACUGCAGGGCUUGCGUCAGCUGUGCUGGAGGUGAGCCCUCUGUUGAGAACCUGGGGCUGGGAGGCCCGCUGUGGUUUCAUUUUAUUUUUUUGGUACCAGGGAUCGGGGACCUUG